AUUUUUUACAUACUUGUUUGAACACAUGUUUAGUCACACCUUAACAAUAUUGAUUCUCAUAAUAAUUACUAAAAUUGACUGUUUUAAUUAUCAUCUAUUUUCCACACAGGAAAAUAAUACUUUAAUUAAUAGUCAGGGUUGUAUUGAACCUGGACAUUUAAAAGUUUGCUCAGGAAAUGGAUUGUGUGUUAACGAAACUUGCUCAUGCAAUUUCAUAGAAGAUACUGAUAACGAUGAUAAAAUGAAAAAUAUUUAUCGUUACUCUGGAAGGUAUUGCGAAGAAUGUCCAUUUUGCAAGGGCCAAAGAUGUGAAAAUAUACUAAACUGCAUUGAAUGCAUAAAAAAGAAGAAUAAUAAAUGUGACUAUGUUUGCUACGUUUAUUACACCAAAGGACAUCAAAUAGAAAGAAUUAUUGAAAAUGAUGAUAAAAUGUGUGAAAUUGAAAGAUAUAAAUGUCUGUACAGAUUUAAAUAUUUUUACAACGAAAAUUUACUAUUUGUUGAAUUUGAAAAUGAAACUUGCUAUGAUUUAACUCUAGGUUUGACUCUUAUAUUUUGGGGAGUAAUUUUAAUUAUAAUAUUGAUGUUGAUUGUGUUUACUAAAAAUCACAUUUUAAAAUACGAAUUUGACUGGUGAGAAUUUAUUCAAUACAUUUGUGUAAAAGUUACAUAACCGGAAUAGCAUAAUACUCUUUACGUCGGAAUAUCACUGGCAUAAUUUAAGUGUGAACUAGGUAUCAACAUGAACCAACCCUUCUGUCCAAAAAGGAACGUGUUAUCCACCAGCGAUCACGUGGUUAUCACGG